rnacentral:rRNA from 1 species
UACGUAGGGUGCAAGCGUUGUCCGGAAUUAUUGGGCGUAAAGAGCUCGUAGGCGGUUUGUCGCGUCGGCUGUGAAAACCCGGGGCUCAACCCCGGGCCUGCAGUCGAUACGGGCAAACUAGAGUGCGGUAGGGGAGACUGGAAUUCCUGGUGUAGCGGUGAAAUGCGCAGAUAUCAGGAGGAACACCGGUGGCGAAGGCGGGUCUCUGGGCCGUAACCGACGCUGAGGAGCGAAAGCGUGGGGAGCGAACAGG